rnacentral:rRNA from 1 species
GGGGAGAGAAGAAUAAGUGCAGGCUAAUAUCCUGCAUGAUGACGGUAUCUCCUUAGCAAGCACCGGCUAACUCUGUGCCAGCAGCCGCGGUAAGACAGAGGGUGCAAACGUUGUUCGGAAUUACUGGGCGUAAAGCGCGUGUAGGCGGCAGGGCAUGUCGGAUGUGAAAGCCCAUGGCUCAACCAUGGAAGUGCACCCGAAACUGCCCAGCUCGAGUCUCGGAGAGGAAGGCGGAAUGCUUGGUGUAGAGGUGAAAUUCGUAGAUAUCAAGCAGAACACCGGUGGCGAAGGCGGCCUUCUGGACGAUGACUGACGCUGAGACGCGAAAGCGUGGGGAGCAAACAGGAUUAGAUACCCUGGUAGUCCACGCCGUAAACGAUGAGUGCUAGGUGUCACGGGCUUUGACCCUCGUGGUGCCGUAGCUAACGCAGUAAGCACUCCGCCUGGGGAGUACGGCCGCAAGGCUA